rnacentral:lncRNA from 1 species
AAAACAAAAAAAGAAUACAACAUGACAUGUAUAGAAAAUAUAACUAUUAUUAAUAUAGCAAUGUGUUUUCCUAUUCACUUUAAGGUACUCAGAAAAGAUUAUUUCCUGCAGGGACCAUUGGCGUUCUACCUCGACAUGCAAAGAGUCCUAAGCAAAAUGAAGACCUUUGUGCAAAAUGCCACCAAACCAGUCCUUAUAAGAAGAAGACUUGGUCUAGAAUGUGGAUAAUGUGUGACACAUGUUCACAAUGGUACCGCAAGGAAUGUGCAAAUCUGAAAUCAGUGCCAAAAGAGGACGAGAAGUGGGUGUGCCAAGGAUGUGGAAAGAAAUGAACCCACUUCACAGAACACAACACGUAAAAUACCAGGGUAUUCCUGGCAAGUAAUUGAAAUGACCUUUCUAUAAGAACUUUUAGUGCAACAAAUGAACUUUUAGUGUCUACUGAACCAAAACCUCAAUCAACACUGCAAAUCACAAACAGGAGAUGGACUUCUGACAAUAAUUUAUUGUAAAUUACAAUUCUGAAAUAUGUUUCCCAGAAAAAGUUUUAAGUAGUUAGAGAAUCUCUGGUUAAGCUAGGUCCGGAAAAAUAAAAGUGCAUUUGAAAACAAUGCACACUUCCCAUUUCUAGAUCAUUUUGUUUUUUUCGUGUGCUUAAAAAAUGUCAAUACCUUUUUUUAUUUCCUGCUGCACUUUAUGACUCACACUUUAAGAUUCCAAGGCUGUGCUCUAAUACAAAUUAUUCUAGGGAGCCCAAGGCCCUUACCUUAAAAAUCUGGGGUGUCAACCAAACAAUUAUUCAAAUCAGAUUGUUUUUGCCCAAGGGUAAACAUUAGGCCAGGAUGCACUCAGCACUGCUAGAAUACAGCCUUGUGACAGUGACACUUACAUUCAUAGUUUAUAAUAAUUAUUGUGCUUAAAAUAGUAUGUUGACAAGAUGUUUGAAAAGGACACCUUUUCCAUAUGCCAGCUUGUGUAUUAGAAAUAGCUAAUUAAUUUAGAUAUGCCAUUGUAAUGUUAAUAUUAUUACUCAUUAUUUAUAUAAAGGAAGCCUCCACUCCUACACCAAAUUGACCCUAAGUACAAGUUUACAAAAUGUAGUUAAACAUGGGAACAGCAAUUAAAAUGCACAAAAUAUUGGGGAUCAUUGUUUUUUUUUUCACUGUUAAAUAUCCCGGGUGCUGCCAUUUUUGAUUUUGUAACAUCAGUUGGUUACAGCUAUUAUCAGGAAGCAUAUGACACAGAAAAUCUUGUGUGUUAGACAAUAGCCCUUGAAAUCGUGAUAGAUUUUUUUGACACUUAAAUGUUAUAUCCAUGUUUUAUCUCUAUAAAACAAAAUUUGGAAUCUAAUAAUUAUUUGCAAGAAUGAAGUAUCAAUUUGUUGUAAGAGUGGAGUUUCCCUUCAACAUAAAUUAAGUCAGGCAUUUGUUCACAAAACGUACGUCCCCUCUCGUGUGUGUGUGGGGGGGGAAAUGGAAAUUCAUGAGUUAUCUUCGAAAAACACGCUUUAAAGCUAAUCAAGAAUUUAAAAAAGAUGAUGUAGAUGAUGAACUAGUGUUUUUGUUCCAAUUAUUUAGAUAACUGCUGCUACUUUGUGAAGGUAAAGCAGUGACAAAUCCCACUAUCAUAGUGCUUCCAAAGGGCUUUAAAAUAAACUUCCUUAUAUAUAGAUUAUAUCAAAGGAGUGUAAAGUAAACAAUAUCCACUUGUUUCACUUUCCAAGUAUAGCAAGGAUCCACUUGAAAACUGAGCACCAAAAUAACUUCCUUUUUUUAAAUAAGGAAAUAGAUAAUAUCACCUCAAAAAAAGAAUACUACAAUAAGAAUUCAAUUAUAUGAAAAUAAGAAUUUUUAAUGUUAUGUAGAAUAUACCCUGUGGCACAAAUUUUUUUAUGGUGUAUUGUUUUGUUUUGUAGAAUCAAUUUUUGCGAUUACGACAGCAGGGUUUUGCAUGCUUGCAAUUGUUGCAACUUUCGAAGUCUUCUUCAAAUGGAACACUGUUUUCAUCAGUUUAAAGAACUUCAACAAUGUAUUUCCUACCCCAGGGGCUCAUGCUGAGGUGUAUCAUUUAUGUAUGGCUGAAUUUCAAUGUAUCGAGAUUAGGCUAUUAGCCUAUUUGUCAACAUCACAAGUAAUAAAAGAAUAUUAUCAC